rnacentral:rRNA from 1 species
UACAGAGGGUGCAAGCGUUAAUCGGAAUUACUGGGCGUAAAGCGUGCGUAGACGGUUACAUAAGUCGGGUGUGAAAGCCCCGGGCUCAACCUGGGAAUUGCAUUCGAGACUGCGUAGCUAGGGUGCGGAAGAGGGAAGCGGAAUUUCCGGGUGUAGUGGUGAAAUGCGUAGAGAUCCGGAGGAACCCCUGAGGCGAAGGCGGCGUCCUGGCCCGAUUCUGACAUUCAGACACGACAGCAUGGGGAGCGAACGGG